ACACAAUUAGGGCUUUAUAAUCUUUGAAGUUCGUUAAUACAAAGAUUUAUAUAUUGGCAGCAAUAAAAGUCUGGAAAGUAAUAGGAAUAGAUGUUUUAGAGCUACAGUCUGACUCUCCUCUGACUUGUGUGGCUUGGCUCCAUUGUCUUCAGUGCAGUUAAUCCUCACCCUGAUUUGCGCACCAGAAGAAGAGAAGAAAAUCCAUCCCUGAAUGUAUGCCUAGGGACACCUGCUUUUAUAGAGCUUGCUUUUCUUUCAGACCAUAGUCCUGCACAGGGGAAAGCACCGAAAGAGAGAGCAGACUCUGACAUGGGAAUUAAACCGUACAGCACGUUUCUUCCAGCGAACAGCUCACAGCAGCAUCUUCAAGAGCGGGACUGAGCCUGGCUGUGGCAACCGACGCCCGAAGGGGUGAGCCUGGCCCUGAUCUGCAGCUCCCAAAGGGGCCCAUUUGCCUGGGGGGCUCCUGCCUGCUCGCUGGUGAUGCUCCACCAGGCAGGCAGGAGGGAGGUCAUGCCUGGGCUCAAGAGUGAAGGUCACGUUCAGAGAAGUGUGGAUUGAAUAAAGGAAACGCUUUCAGUGAUGAGCCAGGUUAAUGGAUAGUGAAGAUGGUGGUGGUGGGGAGAAUGGAUGGUGGGAAACAAAGCACAGCCGACGCCUUGACUUUUUGCAAGUUAUAAAUAUUGUACAAAAUUCUACUUAUGACACCGGAAAAUGCUUUCUCCUGUUGUUCAAAGUGACUCCAGAUGCUGAUGUACUUAGUACACAGCGCAAGUAACCCAACUGGAAUGAAAAAGCAAGCAGGCCUUUGGAAGUCAAAAUCAUUCAUCUCAGAGACAAAGUUUUUCCUGUGUUCUGUGAGUUUGUGUGUGAGACUCACUGAAAUGGCAGCUGUUGGGAACUACCACUGAUUUUCUCUUGUUGGUUUCUGCAGCAAAGGUCAAGGCAGUUUGCCAAUAUAGUAAUUGGACAACAUCACCGUUUCAAAGACCUGACUUCUCACUCACACCAAAACAGUAAUAGGCGAUGAAGCGCUAGGAGAAACUGUACAGCAAAAGCAGGAUGAAAUUUCUGGACUGGAUUUAAUACAGAAGAGGGUUAGAAAGAUUUAGUAAGGUAUAGAAACAAAACCUGAUUUCUACUAAUCAGUCUUCCAGCUCCAGGAUCUGGACCAAACAACUCCUACUUAUGCCUGACAUCAUACCUCCACUCCAAUGUGGAGGAAAAAAAUGCCUGCAAUGACAGCUUGUGCUAUUGAAUAAAAGGCAAGAAUCUGUGUUUCUGUAUACAUGUCACAGGGAGUUUCCCUCCUCUACUUUUUUUCUCCCUAAAGAACAAGCUAGGACAUCCGAUUCCCUGUGCCCCAGUCAUUAAAUACUGUCAUUCAGGCUACAGCAUCUGUUCCUGAUACAUUAGAAAACGGCAGAUUUAAGACUCUCUGGAUAAUCUUUUUCUGUCCCUCCCCAUGUGCAUAUGUUUUCUUACAAACCCUUCCAUGACACAGUCAUAUUUUAGACUUUCCCACAGGACGCAUGCCUCAUUCUGUACAACACAGGAUAAUCACACCCAGUGGCAGAAAUAAAUUAGCAUAGCAAUCUUAAUCUGGUAUUUCCUAAUUUUCCUAAUUUCCUUAUCCUUCAAUGUUCAGCUGUGCUAAUCUAAACAAUACUAUUUUAAUGUAAUUUUUUAAUGUUAUCAUUUACAUAUAUGUAUGCACAUUGGUGUACUUCUCCAUCUAUCUGGAACUGUUAAUGUAUUGGUAAACACAAAAGAAAAAGAUAAAAGUUGUUUGUUUUUAAUUCUUUCAGAACCGUUUGAUCUCUCCUUGCUUGUUUUAGCAGCUGCCUGACUGUUUUUCCUUGUAUGUAAACUUCAAAGUCAAUCAGAGGUCAAAGCUCUGGACAAAGAAUAAAGAAAACAACGGUGACUGGCGUAUGGGAUGGGAAGAAGCAGAGGAGCUGGGUUGUAGAAUAUUGCCUGUUCCUGGACACAGCAGGGGGGAAAUUAUCUACCUCUUGGACAUAACAUUUCUUGACCUGAACAUUUGAUGUAGUUGUCAAGGCCUGUAUACUUGCCUGGAAACGUAUCUCACAGAGAACUGAAGGGUACAGCCAUGUACUGGAGGACUUGACAUACUCUGGCUAUUCUUGGUUCAGGCAAUCUGGAAAUAGCUUAAUAGAUUACAGUAAAAAUGCUGGAGAAAAACAGCCUUUUACUGGUUUCUGUUGACUGCAGAGGGCUUUGAGGGUGGUUUUGAUUCCCAAUUUGUUAUUUGCUAUUUCUGCUUAUAGGAAUAUCAAAGGAAAAGCAAGCCCUGGA